GACCUCAGAUCAGGCAAGA
rnacentral:rRNA from 1 species